UACAGAGGGGGCCAGCGUUAUUCGGAAUUACUGGGCGUAAAGGGCGCGUAGGCGGCUUACCAAGUCAGGCGUGAAAUUCCCGGGCUCAACCUGGGGGCUGCGCUUGAUACUGGUGAGCUUGAAUGCGGGAGAGGAUAGUGGAAUUCCCAGUGUAGAGGUGAAAUUCGUAGAUAUUGGGAAGAACACCGGUGGCGAAGGCGGCUAUCUGGCCCGUAAUUGACGCUGAGGCGCGAAAGCGUGGGGAGCAAACAGG
rnacentral:rRNA from 1 species